AUGGAAAAAAAAGUAGAUGGUAAAUCAUGGAAACUUGAAAAUUCUAUUAAAAAUGUUAAAUCAGAUCAACUUGAAAAACGUUCAACACCUUAUAUUACCUGUGAUGAGUAUGAGUAUAACGAAAAAAAUACAAAUAAAAAUGAACAAAACGUAUAUAAAAAAGAAAUACAAGAAGAAAAAAUAAAUAAUAACACAUUUUUGGAUAAAACACAAGACGAAAAAAAAGUUACAGAAACAGCAGUAACAACAACAACAACAACAACAACAACAGCAGAAGGUGACGAAGAAGAAGAAGAAGAUGAAAAAAAAUUAAAAAGAUGUUUAUUUUCAACAGAAGAAAUGUUACCCUCAUUUUUUAGGCGAAUAGAUUUUUCACCUAAUGGUGAUUUUUUGAUAGCACCAACUGGUAUUCAAUUUGAACAUGUUGAAAAAAUUAGCAAACAAGAUGAAAAUGUAAAAAUUAAUCAAUUAAAAGCAUAUAGCUGUUUUUAUAUAUAUCACAAAAAUUUAUUUAUUAAAUAUAAUAUACCAUUUUUUACCAUAUAUUCACAAACAAGUCAUUUUCUUGUUGCUAAGUUUAAUCCUAAUACUUUUAAAUUACCUUUACAAGAAUCUUUAUUUAAAAAAUGUUACAAACACAUUUUAAAAGAUAAUUUUUAUUUUAAUGAAGAAACAGAACAUUCAGAUAAUAAUCAUAGUAGUAAUAAAAAAAGAAAAACUUUUGACGAAGUAUUAUUUUUAAAUGAAUUAAAAAACCAUGAUAAUAUAAUCAAAUUAAAUUAUGAUAAAACAUUAAUAUAUGAUGAUACUGAAAUGCAAGAUGAUGCGAGUGAAAAUAUUAGUAGCACCAUAUCAGACACAGAUGUAUCAUUAGAUACUGUAGACGAUUCGAUUAAAAAUUCAACUUGGGACUCUAGUUUAUCACAAAAUAAAGAGAAAGAAGGAGAAAUAAAAAAGGAAAGGGGAACUGGGGAUGAGGAAGAGGUUGAUGAAGGAGCAGAAGAAGAUCAAGAGGAUGAAGAAGAAGAUCAAGAGGAUGAUGAGGAAGAAGAGCAAAAUGAGGAAGAGGAAGAAGAACAAGCACAAAUACUAACAAAAGAACAAAAUGGAACUCAUCAAAAUAAACCAAAUGGAGAACAAAAU
rnacentral:lncRNA from 1 species